GGAACUCAGGAACCAUGAGAUCAUAACUUGAGUUGAAUUCAAGAGUUGACACUUAACCUACUGAGCCACCCAGGCAUCCCUGUAGCAACCCAUUCUGUGCCUUGUGGUGGUCGUGGCAGGUUGGUGGUCUUGGCAGACCCUAUAACCUGAAAUACUCACCAAGUCAGAGGAGCACAGACCUGCGGGUGCACUACUUUUUAAACUCCCAGUCUAGUCAGCUCUCAGAAAGAAUUUUGGACUAACCUACAAAGCAACAUUAUCUGCUACACAGUGAGCCACUUCACCAAGGCCUAAUGUCCAGGCUGUAAGCGUUAACAUUCUUUCUAUGAUCACACUGGGAAUUCCUCUCUUCUGUGUUUGCUCUUCAGAGAAGGAGUUUUCAAUGCAGUCAGCUUAAGGGCUUUUUUUUGUGUGUGAGCAAGAUUGAUUAAGAUCUACUUCAUUGGGAGGAGAAUAUUUCCACCUAUGCUCCAUUUGGCUGAAGAAGAGUUCUAGAAUGUUUAUUCAAAGAGUGCGUGGAAUAAAUUGAGGAACUUGUAGCAAAAAUGGAGACAUGAGAAAGGAUGGAAGAAAGGAUCAAAAGUGUUCAAAGUGAAGAGAUCAUGUACAUACCAUGAUAAGUAAUGAAAUCAGACAUAGACUACAAACUAAGCAAUGGAUCUAUAGUGCUCUGAAAGAAUCCCUUUUUCUCUAGGUUGAGAUAAACUAUCUCAUUCUCUCCAGAAGCAAUGGUGCCGUGAAGACUUUGCUGUCAUAGGGCUGGCUUCUCAUGGCUCUCCUGAAACAUCCCAAGGAACAAUUGUUUUACAAGAUGUACUUUCUUUUAUAUUACCUAUUUCUAUUCCUUUCUUUUCAGGAAUUACUCAUUCUAGGAGAAUGGCACAGCAAGUGCACAGAGUGGGGAGAGGCAGAGCGUGAGCGUGGAGGGACAGAGAGAAGGAGACACAGAAGCUGAAGCAGGCUCCAGGUCCUGAGCUUUCACCACAGAACCUGACCCGGGGCUUAUACUCACCAGCCGUGAGAUCAUGACCUGAGCCAAAGUCGGAUGCUUAUCUGACUGAGCCACCCGGCAUCCCAAUGUGACCAGCUUUCAAAAUCUGAAAUUCCAAGUUGUCCUUAGUACUAUGAGAUUAUAUGACCUCAGAGACUGACUUUGUGGAAAACCAUCCUACCCCCCUCACAAGGGCAGCCCCCAGCUGCUGUGUACAUUUCAAACUUUCAAAAAAGUGGCUGCCUAAAGGA